GUGGAUUGCUUCGGCUGCACAUAUACUAAAAUUGGAUUGAUACAGAGAAGAUUAGCAUGGCCCCUGCGAAAGGAUGACACGCAAAUCCGCGAAGCGCUCCAUAUUUUU
ensembl:snRNA U6 U6 spliceosomal RNA